rnacentral:rRNA from 1 species
AUACGUAGGUGGCAAGCGUUGUCCGGAUUUAUUGGGCGUAAAGCGAGCGCAGGCGGUCAAUUAAGUCUGAUGUGAAAGCCCCCGGCUCAACCGGGGAGGGUCAUUGGAAACUGGUUGACUUGAGUGCAGAAGAGGAGAGUGGAAUUCCAUGUGUAGCGGUGAAAUGCGUAGAUAUAUGGAGGAACACCAGUGGCGAAGGCGACUCUCUGGUCUGUAACUGACGCUGAGGCUCGAAAGCGUGGGUAGCAAACAGGAUUAGAUACCCUGGUAGUCCACGCCGUAAACGAUGAGUGCUAAGUGUUGGAGGGUUUCCGCCCUUCAGUGCUGCAGUUAACGCAUUAAGCACUCCGCCUGGGGAGUACGACCGCAAGGUUGAAACUCAAAGGAAUUGACGGGGACCCGCACAAGCGGUGGAUGAUGUGGAUUAAUUCGAUGCAACGCGAAGAACCUUACCUGGUCUUGACAU